rnacentral:rRNA from 1 species
GGAAUUUUGCGCAAUGGAGGAAACUCUGACGCAGUGACGCCGCGUGCAGGAAGAAGGUUUUCGGAUUGUAAACUGCUUUAGACAGGGAAGAAAAAAGACAGUACCUGUAGAAUAAGCUCCGGCUAACUACGUGCCAGCAGCCGCGGUAAUACGUAGGGAGCAAGCGUUAUCCGGAUUUAUUGGGUGUAAAGGGUGCGUAGACGGGAAAAUAAGUUAGCUGUGAAAUCCCUCGGCUUAACUGAGGAACUGCAACUAAAACUAUUUUUCUUGAGUACUGGAGAGGAAAGUGGAAUUCCUAGUGUAGCGGUGAAAUGCGUAGAUAUUAGGAGGAACACCAGUGGCGAAGGCGACUUUCUGGACAGAAACUGACGUUGAGGCACGAAAGUGUGGGGAGCAAACA